CGAGAUCGUGUCGUUGCCAUUACGUUGACGCUAUGUUUUGGAUCUUCAGUCUUCGGGAAAUGUGUGACCAUUAAGUCAUCAUCAUGACUUGGGUGGCUUCUGGUAUGACUCGGAUUACCUCCGUUAAGUCAUCAACUUAGAUCCUCUUCACUCUGUCAAUGGUAUGACGUAAUAACUUGGAAUCGCUCUGUUUAGUUUCUGUCAAAAAAGAAAAAGAAAAAAGAAUAAUUUAUGUCAACGUAGACAUGGUUGUAAGUAUGUGUAAUCCCUCCAUAUGCUCUCCUCGUCACAUGUUUAGGGAUGUGACUGUUUUAGUCCUCUUGUUGUCAUUGUUGUAACGCCGUGGACGUUAUGUCUUUGACCUUCUUCGACCACCACCGUUACGACUGAGACCGUCAUCGCUACAACUUUGAUCCAUUUCGGAUCAACACCUUUACGUGUCGGUCUCCAAAUCAUCAUAGUUACGACCUUGUUCUGCUUCGGAUUGACAUCGUUACGACGUUGAUUUCUAUCUCAGUAUUGAUUGUUCUUCACCUCGAAUUAGUGCCUUAGAAGUAAGAAAGCUUUAUGUCCCC
rnacentral:lncRNA from 1 species